UACGGAGGGGGCGAGCGUUAUUCGGAAUUAUUGGGCGUAAAGGGCGCGUAGGCGGCUGUACAAGUCAAAGGUGAAAUCCCUCGGCUCAACUGAGGAACUGCCUUUGAAACUGUACGGCUUGAGGCCGGGAGGGGGUAGCGGAAUUCCCAGUGUAGCGGUGAAAUGCGUAGAUACUGGGAGGAACACCAGUGGCGAAGGCGGCUGCCUGGACCGGUUCUGACGCUGAGGCGCGAAAGCGUGGGUAGCAAACAGG
rnacentral:rRNA from 1 species